rnacentral:rRNA from 1 species
AACGAACGCUGGCGGCAUGCCUAACACAUGCAAGUCGAACGAGACCUUCGGGUCUAGUGGCGCACGGGUGCGUAACGCGUGGGAACCUGCCCUUAGGCUCGGAAUAACUCCCCGAAAGGGGUGCUAAUACCGGAUAAUGUCUUCGGACCAACGAUUUAUCGACUUUGGAUGGGCCCGCGUUGGAUUAGAUAGUUGGUAGGGUAAAAGCCUACCAAGGCGACGAUCCAUAGCUGGUCUGAGAGGAUGAUCAGCCACACUGGGACUGAGACACGGCCCAGACUCCUACGGGAGGCAGCAGUGGGGAAUAUUGGACAAUGGGCGAAAGCCUGAUCCAGCAAUGCCGCGUGAGUGAUGAAGGCCUUAGGGUUGUAAAGCUCUUUUACCCGGGAGGAUAAUGACAGUACCGGGAGAAUAAGCUCCGGCUAACUCCGUG